UAUAUAAUUUUUGUGUAUAAUCUACAUAUGUAAAUAGGUAGAUGUAUAUAUAUGUGUGUGCAUCAGGAAAUAAGUCUUACACAUUUGAUACAAACACACUUCAAAGCAGUGUUCACUAGUACGACUAAGGUUACUAAAUACUGCAAGCAACACAGACCGUGGCGAUUAUAAUCACCACUACUACGACUACUACUACUAGUACAAAUUACGAGUACCACCACCACUACCACCACCAAAACUACUACUACUACUACUACUGAGACUAGUGUCUAGUAUCAUCAACAACAAACGAUCAUCUCUCAGCUGGGAUAGAAUCAUUUCCUCCAGCCUUCUUUGCGGUGGUCAAUCGUUUAUUCACAACACUUGCUACCGAAAAUGUGACUGCAUUCAUCAUUGGAUGUUUUUUAAAUAGAUGACAAGAUUCACAUACCAAUAUGUUUCAUAUAUUCUCCUCCCUCCUUCUACUGAUGUGAUCUAAUACCAUUAGGCUGGGUAUGUAUGGCUGGAGAGGUGAAAAGAACUGUGGAGAAACAAAGCGAAGAUCAGAUGAGUUAGUAACUGCAGGCCAGUGUGAACAG
rnacentral:lncRNA from 1 species